CAGCGGUAGUAGCUGGGAGUUUGAAACCUGGUCGGUACAGAUAGAAAAUACUAUGGAAACAUGUUUUAUUCUCAGCAUUUGGAUAUUUAUCCUAGGUAACUGGGCAAGGAUUUGAAAGAGGCCUCAGGAAUCUAGACACUCAAUUCCCAUUGAACCAUAAACCUAACCCUCUACUUAACCCUUGCCCUGAACUGUAACCCUCCCACAAGACUGUAACCAAAAUGCGAAUGCUACAACCUGACAGUUCACUCUCACCAUAACCCUAAAGCCUACCCCUGCCCUAGGGGUGUAGAAGCACUGUCCGCCAGCCCAGUCUCUUCCCUAAAGAACCUACAGCCUAAGGGUGACUACCCGUCUCUACCACUGAGCUGCUAUAUGAACUUGGGCAAGUCCUUUCUACUCUCUGUGCAUGUUUCCCUCCCAUCCCCUGGUCUGCCUUUCCCUGCUGCCCAGGUCAUCUCUUAGGGGCAGGGAGCUUUUGUGGCGAUCUGUUUUUAAAGCACCUAUCACGCUGCCUAGGGAGGCCUCUAGGCGCUUGGUGCAAUAAUCUCAGUGCGGCACCAGCCUGUUUUGGAGACGGGACACCAGGCCAAACGGAUCGGCCCGGCCAUUCUCGGGAUCCAGCCGAGGGUAAAACCAGGCCCCUUCCCCAUGGGCCGUGCCCUCUGCUGCCCCCCAGUGGCUAUUCCGCCCCACCCACCCUCAGCGGCAUCAAUCCGCUUUUCAUUGACAUCCUGUUUUCAUUCGCUUCCCCUCAUCUUUUUUUAAAAAAAUCCCCGAUACAAUUUUCGGUGCCUGAUAGUGGCUGGCGCUUCGCCUUGUUACCCUCUUCGGCCAGUGGCUUUUCACCAUUUUUUUGCUUCCUUGUUGUUGGUGUGUGCGUGCUACAUAAAUAUUGCUUAACCCAGGAGAGCACAACAGAGAGGGAAAUCCAUGAAUUAUAGGGACAGAGCCUUAACCGUCAGAAACGGGACCAGCUGCCCCGGAUUUAAAUGCACCUCCAGUGAUUUACAUCAGCUACGGAUCUGCCCAUGGUCUCCAGUGGAACUAUGGUCAGUUUGCUCCAGCUGGGGAACCGGCCCAAUGACUCUGAUGGAACCCAAUUAAUCUGCACCGGUGGAGGAUCAGGCCCAGGGCAUUCAGAAGGAAAACCCUUUCCCUCCCCCACCUACUUGAACAGGGUAAAUGUAUCGAUUUCCUUCCAGCCUGAAGGCCACCCCUGGAGGCCGAGCGGUGUCACAGCUUCACCUCAUCCAGGUUCAGCUGCAGCCACUUCAUUCUGCAGCUGAGUCCCUGACAAUGAGCCUGGCCGCUUUGCUGCUGGUGCUGGCUUCAGGUGCGUUGGCCCAAUACACGGUGACCCAGGACCCGUCCCAAGCCCCUGCCCAUGAAGGAGAACCCAUCCAGCUCAACUGCUCCUACACGGGCACCGAGUACAGCGUGCACUGGUACCGCCAGCUCCAGGGGGGCCAGCCGCGGUUCGUGGCCUCCCUGUCCUCUAGCGGCAGAGACACCCGAGAGAAUUUCACCAUGAGCCUGGACACCAAAACCAAAAGCAGCUUCUUGUACCUGAACAGCAGCCGCCUGCAAGACGCCGCUGUGUAUCUGUGCGCGCUGGAGCACAGUGCUAGGUGAACACAGGCAGCCCGUCACAAAACCCUGGGUGGGGCAGGCCACAAGGACCGAAAAGAGGAGAUAAAAAGAAGUUAAAAUAGAACAGAGGUUAUGAGCACAGAAGAGAAGAAAGGAAAGUAGAACAGAGUAGGUGAGAGGUAAUAAGAACAGAAUGGAACAGAAGAGAAUACAUUGGAAUGGACCCGAACAGAAGCUAUGUGAACAGAAUAAAGGGGAGAGAAGUCAGUAAUUUAACGAAGAACCUUGAAGAAACACCUGGAAAAUUAUAGACAGUCACAUUUUCACCUUUUCGCCUUCCCCAAUUGCCUGGAUCGGGUGGUUUUAUAUCAAAAAUAGCUUCCUUGCCCCACAACACUAGCAGAUGGGGAAGCAUUGUCUGGGGAGACAAUAUGGUAACUCAGUAAUUCCAGUGUGAUUUUCCCUGUUAUUCAGGUCAGACACUUUCAGACUGGUAACAUGCACACAGACAUUCUCACAUAGAGUCACACAUAGGACAAAAUAACACAAGUAAUCUCUCUCUCUCUCUCUCUCUCUCACACACACACACACACACACACACACACACACACACUUGCACAGACAUACACACUCACAUAAGAAUUCUCACAUACCACACGCACUCUCUUACUCUCUCCUAGACUCAGACACACAAAUAGACAGAUUCUAACACACAGCCAGAAACCUACACACUGAAAUCACCCACACACAGGCACACUCUCUGAUAUAUAUUCUCCCUUCACACACAAUCAGAAAUAUUAAUAUCUACGCAUACACUCCGUCACACUCACACACACACACACACACACUUCAUCUCAGAGGCAAAGAGAUCCAUGCACGAUCCUAGAUGAUAAUAUCCUCGAUUGGACCAACUUCUAUUGGGGAGACAAGUUUUCCAGCUACACAGAGCUCUUCCUCCACUGUGAAGCGCCUCUCUCUCACCAACAGAAGUUGGUCCAAUAAAAGAUAUGACCUCACCCAUCUUGUCCCUCCAAUAGCGUGGGACCCACAUAGCUUCAACAACACAGCACACUCCUAGAUAAACAGACUGGCCCCCAGAAUGCAGCCUACACCCAGAGAAUGUCCUGUGUCAGACAUAGAUCUCUAGGCAAAGGGACCCAGUCCUGCCUUUCAUUGCAAGGUCUGACAGACACCACAGCACCCAUGAACUUCCUUCUGCUCAUUGCACUGCUGCGAGGUAUUACAGCCUUCAGUUCUCUGUGCUUUGUUAUUCUCUCUCUCACACACACACUAACACACCUUCCCUCUCACACUCA